rnacentral:rRNA from 1 species
CAGCCGUAAACAAUGUGCGUUAGGUGUGUCGGUAACCACGUGUUACUGAUGCGCCGAAGAGAAAUCGUGAAACGCACCACCUGGGAAGUACGGUCGCAAGGCUGAAACUUAAAGGAAUUUGGCGGGGGAGCACCACAACAGGUGGAGCCUGCGGUUUAAUUGGAUUCAACGCCGGACAUCUCACCGGAUAAGACAGCUGAAUGAUUGUCAAUCUGAAGGUUUUACAUGACUAGCUGAGAGGAGGUGCAUGGCGUCAGUGACU